UACGGGGGGGGCAAGCGUUGUUCGGAAUUAUUGGGCGUAAAGAGCUCGUAGGCGGCUUGUCGCGUCUGUUGUGAAAGCCCGGGGCUUAACCCCGGGUCUGCAGUGGAUACGGGCAGGCUAGAGGCAGGUAGGGGAGAACGGGAAUUCCCGGUGUAGCGGUGAAAUGCGCAGAUAUCGGGAGGAACACCGGUGGCGAAGGCGGUUCUCUGGGCCUGUACUGACGCUGAGGAGCGAAAGCGUGGGGAGCGAACAGG
rnacentral:rRNA from 1 species